UAACCAAGAGAAAAAUGAAAACAUACAUUUAUACUCAAACUUGUACAGGAAUAUUUAUAGCAGCAUUAUUCAUGUAUUAGUCCAUUUUGCAUUGCUAUAGAAGAAUAUCUGAGAUGGUAAUUUAUAAAGAAGUUUAUUUGGCUCACAGUUCUGCAGGCUGUACAAGCAUGGUACUGACAUCUGCUUGGCUCCUGGGAAGGCCUUAGGAAGCUUUUACUCAUGACAGAAGGUGAACAAGGAGCAGGCAUGUCACAUGACGAGAGAGGGCAGAACAGAUAGGGCAGGAGUUCCCAACAACCAGCUUUCAAGUGAACUAAUAUAGAGCAAGAACUCACUCAUUACAAGGAUGGCACCAAGCCAUUUAUGACAGAUGUUCCUAUGAUCCAAACACUUCCUAACAGGCCCCAUUCUCCAACACUGGUGAUCCUAUUUCAUGAGAUUUGGAGGGGACAAAAUAUCCAAACUGUAUCAGUUCAUAUUAUCCAGAAGGUGGAAACAAUCCACAUGUCCAUCAAUGGAUGAAUGGAUAAACAAAAUGUGGCACAAACUAUAAUGGAAUAUUAUUCAGCCAAAUAAAGGAAUGAAUACUCAUACAUGCGACAUGAAUGAAACAUGAAAACAAUAUGCUAAGUAAAUGAAGCCAGUCACAAAACACCAAAAUAUCACAUCAGUAUAUGAGGCUUAGAAAAUGUGCAAAUUGUGGUGAUGGUUGCAUGUAUCUGCAAAGAGACUAAAAACCACUGAAUUAUACAUUUUUGUUUUCGAGAUGGGGUCUCACUCUGUCGCCCAGGCUGGACUGCAGUGGUGCUAUCAUGGUUCACUGCAGGCUUGACUUCCCAGGCUUAAGUGAUCCUCCUACCUCAGCCUCCUGGGUUGCUGGGACGACAGGUGCGUGCCACUGCGGCUAAUUCUUGUAUUUUAAAAAAUAGAGACAGGGUUUUGCCUGUUGCCCAGGGUGGUCUUGAACUCCUGGGCUCAAGAUCUGAGGGCCUUGGCCUCCCAAACUGCUGGGAUUACAGACGUGAGCCACCACACCUGGCCUAAUUAUACAUUUUAAAUGGGUGAAGUGUAUGGCAUGUGAAUUAUAUUUUAAUGAAGUGGUCAUAAAUAACAAAAUAAAAAGCAUAUUGAUUUGAAAGGAUAAAUACAUUCCUGUUUUCAGGACAUAAAUAUCUACAUAGGAAAUCCAAAGGAAUUUUAAAAAUGCAUAAAGUUUAGCAAGAUCACAUAAAAAUCAAUCCCAUUUCUAUAUGCUAACAAUCAAUGUGUGAAUGCCAAAAUUAAGCACUACACCACUUACAAUUGCUCCAAAAUCAUGACUUAGGGGUGUGUGUGUAUAUACGUGUAUAUAUACAUAUAUACACACAUAUAUACUUAUAUACACAUGUACAUAUAUAUACACACACACACACACACAUAUAUAUUUUUUGAGACAGAGUCUUGCUCUGUUACCCAGGCUGGAGUGCAGUGGCACAAUCUUAACUCACUGCAGCCUCCACCUCCCGGGUUCAAGUGAUUCACCUGCCUCAGCCUCCUGAGUAGCUGGGAUUACAGGUGCCUGUCAUCAUGCCCGACUAAUUUUUAUAUUUUUAGUAGAGACAGGGUUUCACAAUGUUGGCCAGGUUGGUCUUGAAUUCCUGGCCUCAGGCGAUUCGCCCGCCCCAGCCUCCCUAAGUGCUGGGAUUACAGGCGUGAUCCCACCACACCUGGCCGACUUAGGUAAUAUAAAACAAAAACUACAGGCUGGGUGUGCCUGAUGGUGCCCAGUGAAGCCAGCACAAACUACCCCAAUGCUUGGGUGAGUGGCCAAGCAUCAGAGCAGUGACUAGACUUUUUCUUUUUGGGGAAACAGCCUAGGGUUCUGCCAAUAGGUGUCUCUAAGGAGAGGCUGGAAGGUAGAAAGCUUGUUGCCUCCCAGCACCUGGUAAUCCCCGCAGCAGCAGGGAGGCUGCCAGGGUCCUGUUUGGGCAGCCAGUUCCUAGAUGACAGCACAAGGCUCUGGUCAGGGUGGUGAAGACAACGAUGGAGUUUGGCUCUUGGUGCCGUGGUGUCAGCCAAGUGGGAUCUUCUCCUCUCCCAGAGCCAGCGCCUCCCAAGAUGGCUGUGGUUCAGUAGCCACAGCUCCAUCAGAACCCCCAGCCAUGCACUGAAUCUCCAAUCAGCUUCCCUGGGAAGCUCCUCUGCUCUGGAGGUUCAGAAUUCUAGGACUCCACCUGCCUGCUGGGGCUGAUACAGACCCCUACGCAAGAGGCCGGCAUAUGUGAAUAAGCACUCAGACAAGUGCUGACAGUGCAGAGGGUGACCAAGCCUGGGAAGGCCCCAGGGGUCCAACACCAAAAUUAAAGGUUUAUUAUACAC
rnacentral:lncRNA from 10 species